GGUUCAGUAGCUCAGUU
rnacentral:tRNA from 1 species